UCAAUUGAGGUGGCAUUUCAGAGUAUUAGUUGCAUUAAAGGAUAAAUCAGUCACUUCAUAUAUUAUAUUCACUCUCCGAAAUAAAAGUUGGGGGAUUUCAGCGAUCAAUCAAUACAUGAUCUGUCUUCUCACAUUCAACUCAUUUCACACCUUUCCACUCUCUUUCCAAUUCAUUCAACUUCUCAAUUCAAAAACCUAGCCCAAUCCUGCCGAUUUCUACAUUUCCGGCGACCCAAACAUUGCGCUUUUGAGAAUAGAGCGUGAAUCUCUUCCAACUACCGACCACAUGUACUCUUAUUAGCUAAAAGAUGAGCAAUUUCAAACACCUCAGCGCCUGACGUCGGAGAAACUUCGCGAAAUGUAGCCGAGAGUCCUGCUGAGUUGCGUAACUAUAUAAUCGUUAUGAUGAUGUAGCAGAAUCCGGUGGUGACGCCUCAGAGAGUGACGAGAAAACGACUGUUGGCCUCAAAGCACAAGUCAUUGAGCUUUCAUAAUAUAUUGAGGACAGAAAAAGCUUCCAGUGAAAGAAGGAUAUAUAACUGUAUGGCUUGAAAUUUGAUGGAAACAUAAGGUUUGAAAAGUAAUGUGCACAAUUUUUACUUCUCUUACAAAACAGAUUAUGAAAUAUUGUAGAGUUUGUAGUAUUACAAUGAAAGAAACAUACUGAUAUCAAAAACUGCUUUAAUAAAUAGAUACUCCUAUGGAGUAUUAAUCUA